CCAGAGUAGCGAGCGAAACAUGAAUGAGUAAUUAUGCUUUGAAUAGGGAUGACGGUGUCUAUUUGCCAGAGGAAUAUAUGCAUCUCACUGGCAGGUGACGUCAUUCCUUGGAUAUUUAAGAAGCCACGAUUGCAAUUUUAGAUCACCCCUCAUGAAGACACUGGACUGGAGUGUCGAAACGUUGGGUCUUGAUUACAAUUCGACUGGGCUUUGUAAUCAUUUAUUUAAACCAGAGUAGCGAGUGAAACAUGAUUGAUAUACCUGGUUGCAGUGAACGCACAAACUUGGGG